CCUACGGGUGGCUGCAGUGGGGGAUAUUGCACAAUGGGGGGAACCCUGAUGCAGCGACGCCGCGUGGGUGAAGGAGCGUUUCGGCGCGUAAAGCCCUAUCGGCAGGGAAGAAGAUGACGGUACCUGACCAAGAAGCCCCGGCUAACUACGUGCCAGCAGCCGCGGUAAUACGUAGGGGGCAAGCGUUAUCCGGAUUUACUGGGUUUAAAGGGUGCGCAGGCGGCGAGUUAAGUCAGCGGUAAAAUUUCGGGGCUCAACCCCGACGAGCCGUUGAAACUGGCUUGCUAGAGUGGGCGAGAAGUAUGCGGAAUGCGUGGUGUAGCGGUGAAAUGCAUAGAUAUCACGCAGAACUCCGAUUGCGAAGGCAGCAUACCGGCGCCCAACUGACGCUCAGGCACGAAAGCGUGGGUAUCGAACAGGAUUAGAUACCCUAGUAGUC
rnacentral:rRNA from 1 species